rnacentral:tRNA from 1 species
CGCGGGGUGGAGCAGUUUGGUAGCUCGUUGGGCUCAUAACCCAAAGGUCGUUGGUUCAAAUCCAGCCCCCGCUA